GACGAACGCUGGCGGCGUGCCUAAUACAUGCAAGUCGAACGCAGUUGCGAACGGGUGAGUAACGCGUAGGUAACUGCCUCAUAGCGGGGGAUAACUAUUGGAAACGAUAGCUAAUACCGCAUACUGUGAGAUGGACCUGCUUUGUAUUAUGUAGUUGGUGAGGUAAAGGCUCACCAAGGCGACGAUCCAUAGCCGACCUGAGAGGGUGAGCGGGCAAACUGGGAAUGAGAAAAGGGCCAGAAUCCUACGGGGGGGAGCAGGAGGGAAGUGUCGGCAAUGGACGGAAGUCUGAACGAGCAACGGCGCGGGAGAGAAGAAGGGUUUCGGAGCGUAAAGCUCUGUUGUUAGAGAAGCGGUAACUAAACAGAAAGGGACGGCUAACUACGUGCCAGCAGCCGCGGUAAUAC
rnacentral:rRNA from 1 species